rnacentral:rRNA from 1 species
AGUGAACGCUGGCGGUAGGCCUAACACAUGCAAGUCGAACGGCAGCACAGAGGAGCUUGCUCCUUGGGUGGCGAGUGGCGGACGGGUGAGGAAUACAUCGGAAUCUACUCUGUCGUGGGGGAUAACGUAGGGAAACUUACGCUAAUACCGCAUACGACCUACGGGUGAAAGCAGGGGAUCUUCGGACCUUGCGCGAUUGAAUGAGCCGAUGUCGGAUUUGCUAGUUGGCGGGGUAAAGGCCCACCAAGGCGACGAUCCGUAGCUGGUCUGAGGGGAUGAGCACCCACACUGGAACUGAGACACGUUCCAGACUCCUACGGGAGGCAGCAGUGGGGAAUAUUGGACAAUGGGCGCAAGCCUGAUCCAGCCAUACCGCGUGGGUGAAGAAGGCCUUCGGGUUGUAAAGCCCUUUUGUUGGGAAAGAAAUCUAUCUGGUUAAUACCCGGGUGGGAUGACGGUACCCAAAGAAUAAGCACCGGCUAACUUCGUGCCAGCCGCCGCCGUAA